UUCUUGGCUCUUCAGUUGUCACACUUGCCUCAGCUGUGCCAUUUCUCCUGGCGACAUAGAAGAUAAUACCUGCUUUUUUGAUGAAUACUUUAAUAUCCUGUCUCCUCAAAAAUGACAAAACUUUUGUCCAGAGAAAGACAAAGAACAACAUUUUAGGAAAUUUACACCAUUUGAUUUAUUUCCAGCCUUAAGACCCACAAAGGGCCAUAAAGAGCCAGGUGGCUUUACUCUGAGCAAUAAGUUUUACCUCAGAAUAUGUUUUUCCUGUCAUCUGGAGAACUUCUUUUCACUUUAUUCAUGUACGUUUCCCUAUUAUUUCAGGAAUUUCUUUAUCAAACCUUUACCUCAGAAAAGCCUUGUGAAAUAGAAAGAAGAAAAUGCCAAUUGUAUUUAUUAAGAGAUGGUUAUCUCAGACUUUACCUCAGAAAUGGCAGAGCCUUGUGAAACGGAAGGGAGAAACAAAGGCAAAACUUUUCAAAAUUAGCACAGCUUUUUCUGAAGGGACGAGAUAAAUAGUGUUGCGUUUUAUUUAUUAUAAUCUGGUUUAUUUCUUGCCAAAGACCCUCAUGGAGCCAGAAGAGCCACAUUUCUUUCAGCCACAACUUUUACCUCAAGCAAUCCAGAUCUUUUCACUUUAUUCGUGUCUGUUUCCUGAUUAUUUUAGUAAUUUCUUUCUUUACCUCAAACUUUUACCUCAGAAACGGCAAAGCCUCGUGAAAUAUAAAACAAUUUCUAUUUUAGAAUUUUCUUUAUCGAACCUUUACCUCAGAAAAGCCUUGUGAAAUAGAAAGAAGAAAAUGCCAAUUUUAUUUAUUAAGAGAUUGUCAUCUCAGACUUUACCUCAGAAAUGGCCAAGCCUUGUGAAACGGAAGGGAAAAACAAAGGCAAAACUUUUGAAAAUUAGCACAGCUUUUUCUGAAGGGACCAGCCUUAAGACCCAUAACAUGCUAUGCUGAAAAUUAUAUAUAUAUAUAUACACAAAAGGUCGAAGAGACAGAAGACAGAAGAUGCUCGAAGACACUCUCGCAAGGACACCGCCCGCCCCCCCAAAAAGGUCAUUGUCAGGGUAAUGGGUGUCAGGCUAGGCAUUUAAUGUCUAUCUUUGCAAUAAAAAACAGGCUACCUGUGUGCUAGGCUUUUGCAUGAAGAACACGGUUCCCCUCGUGUGUGGCAUCGAAGUUUCCCACUCGGGAACGGACGGGUCCUCCCUUUGUUCUAGGCAGAUGAUGGGGGUUUUCCUAUACAAGCCGUAGGGGCCACAGCUUGGGGGGCAGCGGGGGGCCCGGCCCUGGCACCGCGGGGAGCAGCACACGUUACGGGCAUUUUAAAAGCUCCCUUAAACUUAGACAGUGGCUAGAAAUAAAAAUAUUAAUACCUUAACUCACCUACUAACCCUACUAACACCAUUCUAACUAGGGCAGCCUGGCCUUUUAAAUAGGACUGUGUUUUGCCUGCUGGCAAGAACCAAGCUGGGAGGGAAGGGGGCCUCCUGGCCCCCCAUAGAAGGGCUCCCCUAGAAGGACAUUCAAAAUGCCCGCAAGGUGUCCUGAGAGCAGCCCCUGGGGCCCUCAGUGUGCCCCCCACGGUGCCAGGGCUGGGCCCCCCGCUCUCCCCCAACCCAUGACCCCUGCCGCCUGUAUAUCGUCCGCCCAGGGCCAACGGACGCCCCCUCCCUCCCCGGGCGGAGCUUCGGCGCCACACACAAGCGGAGGCCAGCCGUGGCCGCCAGAACAUGGAGAACCUGGUUUUUGACUGCAAACAUAGGCAUGUAGGGACCCCCUUUUAUUUAUGUAAGGCCACCCACCCAGGGGACCUCUGUUCCUAAUUAAAGCCUGGUUAAAGGGGAUCCUCUAUUCUUAAAGUAAGGCCUAUAGAGAUCUCCUAUCCAGAAACUAAGGCGGCCUGGCCUAUAAAGAUCCCCUUUUGUUAAACUAAGGUGGCCUGGCCUAUAGAGAUCUCUUGUUGUUAAACUAAGGUGGCCUGGCCUAUAGAGAUCUCCUUUUGUUAAACUAAGGUGGCCUGGCCUAUAGAGAUCUCUUGUUGUUAAACUAAGGUGGCCUGGCCUAUAGAGAUCUCCUUUUGUUAAACUAAGGUGGCCUGGCCUAUAGAGAUCUCUUGUUGUUAAACUAAGGUGGCCUGGCCUAUAGAGAUCUCCUUUUGUUAAACUAAGGUGGCCUGGCCUAUAGAGAUCUCUUGUUGUUAAACUAAGGUGGCCUGGCCUAUAGAGAUCUCCUUUUGUUAAACUAAAGUGGCCUGGCCUAUAGGGAUCUCCUUUUGUUAAACUAAGGUGGCCUGGCCUAUAGGGAUCUCCUUUUGUUAAACUAAGGUGGCCUGGCCUAUAGGGAUCUCCUUUUGUUAAACUAAGCUGCCCUGGCCUAUAGAGAUCUCCUAUUCUUUAAGGUAACGCCAGGCGAUGUGGAGAUCCCUGGUUCUUUUAACCCUUAAGGCCAACCGUGGGGAGAUCCCUGGUUCUUUUAACCCUUAAGGCCAACCGUGGGGAGAUCCCUGGUUCUUUUAACCCUUAAGGCCAACCGUGGGGAGAUCCCUGGUUCUUUUAACCCUUAAGGCCUGCCUGGGGAGAUAUAUUCUUUUUUCAUGAAAAGUCGGGUAUAGACCUUCUCUUUUCUCUCCCGUUUCAUGUGCCUGGACUCCCGGAGGGCUCCUGCCGGACACCGUCUCCCAUCGGCCGAGAGGGAUCCUUCCUGUUUGGAAAGCAUCUGCUACACAGGUAAAAAGAAGAUUCCGGGAAGGAGAUUCCUACAGCGGAGCCCUAAAGCCAGGUGAGACGUUCCUUCCAACCUCCACGGCUGCUUUGCACACACACACAUGACACACACAUGACACACACACACACGCAUAUACAGCUGGGGGCCCUCAGGGACUCUCCCCCCAAUAGAUCGGGGACUCCCACUCCGGCAAUUGGCCAUUGUAAAUGCCUUGAAGCAGUUUGGGGCUUCCGGCCAAGCGCUCGCAAAGAGAACCCAUUCAAGGUAUACGUGGAGCCCCUUUUAUUUAUUAUUUAUUGACAGCAUUUCUAUUCCGCCCUUCUUUCUCACCCCAAAGGGGACUCAGGGCGGAUCACAUGACACAUAUAGGCAAACAUUCAGUGCCUUUUAACAUAGAACAAAGACAAACAAACAUAAGCUCCGAGCGGGUCUCGAACUCAUGACCUCCUGGUCAGAGUGAUUCAUUGCAGUUAUAAUUGCAGCUGGCUUGCUCUCCCGCCUGCGCCACAGCCCGGGCCAACCUUGAUAAAAAGGGCCUGGCACGUGGAAAACUCUAUUUGUAAGGCAAACCCUCGUUAAAGGAGGUUUGCAAUUAAUUUAAAACCAGGCUUCUGAGGGACCCGCUGCGUUUAAAGCCAAACCUAGCAGGUGGGAACCUCUCUUGUUGGAUAAAGGAGAUCCCCUCUGGUUAACGUAAGGGGAGGGACCCUCCAUUUUUAAUAGGAUGCCUGGCAGAAUCUUAACCUCAAUGCAGGCCUAUGGGGUCCAGCCUUAUUCUCAAUGACUGCAUAGCCAGGCAUGAAGGGAUCCCAUAUUAUUAAUUUGAAGCCUGGUAAAAAGAGAUUUAUGUAUUUAUUUAUUUACUACAUUUAUACCCCGCCCUCUUUUCCCUUAAAGGGGACUCAGAGCGGCUUACAAGUUAUAUUUACAUACACUAUCUCAUUAGCAUAGCACAAUAUUAGCAUUAUAUAUUACUACAUUGCACUAUACCACUAUAUAGAAAUAUUGUUACCAAUAUUACAUUUAAAAUAUAAUAUGUAAUUAAUAUUAUUGUAUCAUUGUUAGUAUUAUAUUGCUUUAUUUAUUUAUUUAUUUAUUAGAUUUAUAUGCUGCCCUUCUCACCCCGAAGGGGACUCAGAACGGCUUAAAAAUUAAAUUUACAUACAAUAUUAUAUUAUUAGCAUAGUACAAUACUGGCAAUAAAUUACUAUAUUGUACUAUAUCAAUAUAUGGUAGUAUUAUUAGUAAUAUUACAUGCAAAACAUAAUAUAUAAUUAAUAUUAUUAUAUUGUAUUAUUAGUAUAUCGUAUUACAAUAUAAUAUUAUGAAUAUAUGUAUAUACAAUAUGUUGUAAUUAUUAUAUAUUAAAUUAUAUAUAUAUACACACACAGUAGAGUCUCAUUUAUCCAACAUAAACGGGCCAGCAGAAUGUUGGAUAAGCGAAUAUGUUGGAUAAUAAGGAGGGAUUAAGGAAAAGCCUAUUAAACAUCAAAUUAGUUUAUGAUUUUACAAAUUAAGCACCAAAUCAUCAUGUUAUACAACAAAUUUGACAGAAAAAGUAGUUCAAUAUGCAGUAAUGCUAUGUAGUAAUUACUGUAUUUAUGAAUUUAGUACCAAAAUAUCAUGAUGUCUUGAAAACAUUGUCUACAAAAAUGCGUUGGAUAAUCCAGAAUGUUGGAUAAGUGAGACUCUACUGUAUAUAAAAAUUAGAAUAGCAUGUUAUUAGGGGAGGAGCAUCUUAAUUAUUAGAUGUCAGUAUUAGUCAUUAGAUGUUAAUAUUAGUUAUUCAUAUUAGUAUCAAUAUUACAUUAAUAUACAAUAAAGCAGGGGUCCCCAAACUAAGGCCCGUGUGCGGGAUGCGGCCCAUCGAAGCCAUUUAUCCGGCCCCCACAGCACAACCCUUAUUAUUAUUAUUAUUAUUAUUAUUAUUAUUAUUAUUAUUAUUAUUAUUAUUAGCAUUGAGGCUGGGUGGCCAUCUGUCAGGGGUGCUUUGCUUGUGCUUUCGGUGCACAAAGGCAGAAAGGGAUUGGACUCAAUGGCCAACCCUUCCAACCCUCAUAAUUAUUAUUAUUAUUAUUAUUAUUAAUUAUUAUUAUUGCUUGGUGGCCAACUAUAGUCUGGCCCUGCAAUGGUCUGAAGGAUCGUGAACUGGCUCCCUGUUUAAAAGGUUUGGGGACCCCUGCAAUAGAGUAUAUUAUUAUCCUAGCACAAUGUUAUUAUGUUAUAUAGUAGUAUGUAUGUUCAUAUUAUUUAUUCAUAUUAGUAUCAAUAUGACAUUAAUAUACAAUAGAGUAUAUUAUUAUCCUAGCACAAUAUUAGUAUGUUAUAUAGUAGUAUGUUGUUGCUAGGGGGAGGGGCCCCCCACUGAUGGAGAGGGCCCCCCCACUGAGAUCCCCUGUCAUUAAUGUUAGACCAGGCAUUUAACGCCUACCUUUGCAUUAAAGAGCAGGCUCCUAGGCCUUUGCAUUCAAGAGCAGUGCGCUAGGCCUUUGCGCAAGGAACACCACCCACGGCUCCCCUUGUGCGUGGCGUUGAGGCCCCACUCGGUGACGGACGGGUCCUCCCUUUGCCCUGGGCAGGUCGUGGGGGGGGGGUCUCCCUGGAUGUGCAGGGGGUCACGGCUGGGGGGAGAGCGGGGGCCCGGCCUUGGCACCCCCCUGGGGACCCGAGGGGCCGCUCUCAGCCCACGUCACGGGCAUUUUAAAACGUCCCCGGGAUAUGUAGUAGCUCAGAUUAAUCCCUGCACUAACCGCUAACCCUACUAACCCAGUUCUAACCCGGGCAGGCUAGGCUUUUAAAUAGGACUGUUUUUGCCUGUUGGCAAGAACCUAGUGGGAGGGGGCCUCCGGGCCUCCCGUGGGAAGAAGGGCUCCGCCCCCCCCGGCCCCCCGGCCCCUGCCCUGUGCUGGGAGCCCCCCGCCCGGGCCCCCAGAGGCCUCCCUGUGGUACCGGGCUUGGCCCCCGCUCUGCCCCCAUCCGACGGCAUAGGAAAGCCCCCCACCAUCCGCCCAGGGCCAACGGACGGCCCUCCCUCCCAGGGGCAGCCGCAUUCCUCACGCAAAGGUCUGGCGCACGGGAGCCUGUUUCUGAAUGCAAACGUGGGGCCCAGGACCCCCCCCCCCUUGUCUCCGUGCAGGGCCACCCCCCCAGGGACCCCCACAAAUGCCUGGUGACAGGGGAUCCUCUCCUCUUAGCAGGAGGAAAAGCCACGUGCGUAAAGCGGUGCCUUUGCUCCCGUCGUUCCCAAGAGCCCCCCAAAAGCGAGAUGCUCCCCUGGGUUCAGCCCUCCUGACCCCUGUCUUCUCCCUUGUUCCAUGUCUCCAAAAUCCCCGAGGGAGGGGCUCCUCCUGGACAAGAGCCAAGGAAGGACGGACGGACGGACGGACGGAGAUCCCAGAGAGAGAGCGGAGAGCAGGAUGCCUUGCCUUUUCGGAGCUGCUGAGGUCGACCCCUUUCCAACGAUGUCAGCUUUCAAGAAUAAAACUCUUCCCAAAAAAGUGUGUUCUGGUUAUUAUUCAAAGGCACAACGUUCAAUAUUUGACAGCAUUAAACAUCUAGAUUACAGGACAGUUUAUGUUACUGCAUUUUAUACACCUGACCUUGUUUUUACAAAUAAAGUACCUGUAUAAUUUUUGCCUCUAUAUAUAUAUAUUGUACUAUGCUCAGACUCAUUGUUCUGAUAUGCUGUUAUAUGGUUUAAUUGUUUAUAUUGUUUAUAUUUUUAAUGUAUGACUGUUUAUUACAUCUGUCAUUGGGCUUGUUUCCCAUGUGAGCCACCCCGAGUCCUCCUGGGGGAGAUGGGAGCGGGAAUAUAAAAAUAAAGUAUUAUUUUGUAUUAUUAUUAUUAUUUAUAGUAUUUAUUAUAUAUAAUUUUCUUGCACCCCAAGUACCUCUGGCAAGUGCCAAAGAGUAUUUAACUCUGCCUACAUGGCACUAAAGUGUAUUUAUAUGUUGAUUGUUCCUAUUGAUUUUAUGUUAUGUUUUUUUUUGCUUUGUAUAAUAAGGCAUUGAAUUUUUGCCUUAAUAAUAAUAAUUUUAUGAAAGUUUUAAUGUCACUGAAUUUUAAAUUGGAUUGAAAUGUCAUUGUAAUUGUUUAUAUGUGUAUUUUCUAUUUGUAAGCCACCCUGAGUCUCCCCUUAUUGGGUGAGAAGGUUUGGGAAGAAAUACUGUCAUAAAUAAAUAAAUAUUCUGUGUCCA